rnacentral:rRNA from 1 species
CCCCUAGAUGUUCUGGGCCGCACGCGCGCUACACUGAACAGUUCAACAAGUCUUAACCUUGGCCGAUAGGUCUGGGUAAUCUUUGAACGCUGUUCGUGAUUGGGAUAGACCUUUGCAAUUAUGGGUCUUCAACGAGGAAUUCCUAGUAAACGCAAGUCAUCAGCUUGCAUUGAUUACGUCCCUGCCCUUUGUACACACCGCCCGUCGCACCUACCGAUUGGAUGGUCCGGUGAAGCCUCGGGAUUGUGGUUCUUGCCGCUUUAUUGUGGCGUGACCGCGAGAACUUGUCUAAACCUUAUCAUCUAGAGGAAGGUGAAGUCGUAACA